rnacentral:rRNA from 1 species
UGCGUAGGCGGGCCUUUAAGUCAGUGGUGUAAUCCUGCAGCUCAACUGUAGAAUUGCCAUUGAAACUGAAGGUCUUGAAUAUGGACGAGGUAGGCGGAAUGAGUUAUGUAGCGGUGAAAUGCAUAGAUAUAACUCAGAACACCGAUUGCGUAGGCAGCUUACCAGACCAUUAUUGACGCUGAGGCACGAAAGCGUGGGGAGCGAACAGGAUUAGAUACCCUGGUAGUCC